rnacentral:rRNA from 1 species
CCUACGGGUGGCAGCAGUGAGGAAUAUUGGUCAAUGGGCGUAAGCCUGAACCAGCCAAGUAGCGUGAGGGAUGAAGGUUCUAUGGAUCGUAAACCUCUUUUAUAAGGGAAUAAAGUGUGGGACGUGUCCUGUUUUGUAUGUACCUUAUGAAUAAGGAUCGGCUAAGUUCGUGCCAGCAUCCGCGGUAAUACGGAGGAUCCGGGCGUUAUCCGGAUUUAUUGGGUUUAAAGGGUGCGUAGGCGGCCUUUUAAGUCAGCGGUGAAAGUCUGUGGAUCAACCAUAGAAUUGCCGUUGAAACUGGGGGGCUUGAGUGUGUUUGAGGCAGGCGGAAGGCGUGGUGUAGCGGUGAAAUGCUUAGAUAUCACGCAGAACCCCGAUUGCGAAGGCAGCCUGCCAAGCCAUGACUGACGCUGAUGCACGAAAGCGUGGGGAUCAAACAGGAUUAGAUACCCCAGUAGUC